CCACACACUCUACAUCAUGACAGUAUUUCAAAAUGCAUUUUUCUAAAAAAAAAUAGGGCUCAAACAACCCCUAAAUAAAUACAAUAUUAAUAAUCAAUCAAAAAUAUAAUACUAAUAAUCAAUCAAAAUUAAUUCUCUCUCUCUCUAAUUACUUAAGUCCCCUGGCUACAACAUUACGGGCGCUCAUCGUCAUCACCAGAGACACCAUCAUUACAAUCCAACACAGGCCACAACCUCACAGCACCGCGCACUCAUCGCCUUUUCCUUGAAUCAGCGAUGCUCAUAGCCUUCUUCUUUUUCCCUCUUAAGUUUGAUUUUCGAUGGUUUCUUUUGUGCUAUUUGUGAUGAUUUGGGGUGUUGAUCACCAUUUUGCAAAGUAGGCAACGAUGAUGGGAGGAUGGUAUGGAGUGCUGCAUAUUGGGACAGGCGUUCGGGUUGCGGAUCUGUAGGCGGUGCUGUGGAUCUCCCCACUACUUUAUUUCACCCAUUCCGGGACUUCUCAUGGCGCUCACUCCGGCGACUAGCAUGGUGCAGAUCCAUUUUUCUUCCUUUUUAAAAUUUUUUUUUUUGAGUGGUAGAGGUGUUCAAUUUGGUGGUCGGAAUGGAGAGCUUUGGUGGGGGUGACAGUGAUAUGCUACCGUGUUGCUAUGGGUGCACUGGUGGUUCUGUGAUGCGGCGGAGGUCAUGUGUGAUGUGGUGGUAGGAAUGGAAAGCUCUGGUGGGUGCAACGAUGGUGUGCAGCUAUGUUGUUGUGGGUGAGUUUGUGGUAUUGUAGGUGUGAUGGUUGGAUGCGUGUGGUAUGUGGUGUAGUAUUGUGUACGAUGGUGUGGCGGUGUUGGCUCUGACAGUGUGCAGUGGUGUUGACUAAUUAUUGUGAUGUGAAAGGGAUGGCUCUAGCCGUGGUGGUGUUUGACGAAGGUGUGGUGGUGAGGUAAUAUUCACAAAAUGGUGGUGUGGUCUCAAAUUAUUUGGUUGAUUGUGAUCAAUAAAUUUGUUAAUUUGUGAUCAAUUCUUUGAUGUUGUGACUAAUAAAGUGGAUAUUUCGUGGCUAAUAAAUAAUGCAUGAUAGAUAAUUUGUGAUCAACAAAUAGUAUGUGACAUAAAGAUUUGUGGCUUGACUUAUUUUACUUGUCAUUUGUGAUCAAUAAAUGAAUUGUGAUAUAUAAAUUUUUUGAUUUGUGACAAAUGAAUAAAUUGUGACAUGUAAAUUCUUUGAUUUUUGACCGUAAAAUAAAUUGUGAUCUUUAAAAUUUUUUAUUCGUGAUCGAGUAAUAAUUUCUAAUCAAUUAAUUCAAUAAUUUGUGAUCAAAUAGUACAAAAUUGUGACCUUAAUAUAUUUAAUUGAUAAAAUAUAUUUUAAUUAAUUAUUUCAUAAAUAAAAUUUAAUUAAUAUCCGAUUUUUUGAAGUUUUAAACAUUGGUUCUUAGUUUUGGAAUUGACCAUACUUAGCCUGUGUUUGUUAACGAUUAAAAUCUAGAUUUUCAUCAAAGUCAAAAGUCAACAAUUCAUUGUAAUCACAUAUUUUAUGGACCACACAACUUUUUAAUCAUACAUUUCAUCAACUUUUAUCAAAAAUCUAUUAAAAUUUUGAUUUUAGUCCCCAAGAUCUUAUGUGUGAAGUUUUCCCUUUAAUUUAUUCAGGCCCUGUUUGGCACCCAUUUUUAUCAAAAUGCAUUUUUCUCUCUCUUCAUUUCAACCACACAUUCUUUAUUAAAAUAUUAUUACACGUAAAUCAAAAACUUUUUCUGAUUUUUCAACUACACAUUUCCCAUCAAUUUACUAUUCAAAAAUACAUUUUCACAUAAAAAUUCCUACCAAACACCCUCUCAAUUAACGUUCAAAAUCCCGAAACUUUGUCUUUUCCAAAGAAAACUCCCAACUUGACAGAACACCAAAAUCAAAUCCCAAAUCCCCUAAUCCAGAAAAUCACUAAGCAACCCACAGAUCACUCACCUUCAUACAUCAUUCUGCUAAAUAUAAAUUGUAUAUCAAAUCAAUGACCUUUAUCGUUGAAAUUUGACAAUAUUGGGGUUUUUAUCAAUGGAUAUACAAAUCAAGGCCCACAUAAUUUUCAUAUUGACUUAGUAUGUUAAUUCUUCUUUUCCUAUUGAGACGUUCUUUCAAUUUGAGCUAAUUUUCAUUUUGUUGGAUUCAAUACAGGGCAAGCAGCGCUCGUAGGAAAUGAAGGCAUGAGAGAAUCACUGGGU
rnacentral:lncRNA from 1 species